ACACAGCUUCAAACCUCUCUAAGAGGCCGCAGCGUCUCCAAUCUCUAAAUCCCUCAAGUUCAGGGCUGCACCCCCCAACGCCGCCCCAUCCCAGCACCUGAAGGGUUAAGCGACGGCCCAGGGUCAGACGUUUACAAACACUCAGAAGCCGGGCGGGACCGCGCCCGUUACUCUAAUGAGAAACAGGCUCUGCGGGACAGGGGAAAAAAGGGAGGGCUGGCCCGACGGGCCGCCCUGGCGGCUCCCCCCCUCCCUUCGGUCCUCCCUCGGGCCCGCCCAGGGGACCCCCCCAGCCUCGGGGGACCCCAGUGACGUGCGGAGCUGCCCCGGCUCCAAGCCCAGGGCCGCAACACCGGAGGGGCGGGUAGAAGAGGCCAGGCCGGCGGGGACAGAAGAAUGUUCCGAGGCUAAGCGGAGAGGCGGCCUAGUUUGAUUUUUUCUUUCUUCUUUUUUUCCCCCCUCUUUGGUGUGUCUCCUCAGGUUACAUUUCCCUUCCAGCUUCAUCUCGGAAAUAAAGGAAGGAGAAACACACUGGAAGGAUGGACGAGGAACACCUCGACCCAUCAACCUGCCUACACCGAACAGGGCAGGGGAGUUAACAAAUGGUUGAAGAUCUUCUCCCAUAGUGCCACCUGAAAAUGAUGAUGAAAAUGCCCACCUUUUCAGUAGAUAAAGUGACUUUUACAAAUCAGAUUCUGCGAAGGGACUUCGCCCAAAAAGGAAGAUAGCUAAAAAGAGCAUAGAUCAGGGUUUAAAACCCUCCUCUGCCACAAAGUCAACGUGUGACCUUUGGCUGGUUACUUUCAUGGCCUUUUCCGUUUCACAUCCAUUAAAUGGGGCUAAUGAUACUCCAUCUCACAGAUUUGUUGCUAAACUUAGAAUGAGGUGAUAGGUGGGAGAGAGUCCCUAGCACAUCCUAGGCUCCAGCGUAUAUACAUCAGGCCCCAUCUCUGAGGAGGUUAGAUUCCUUUCGGUUCCCCUCCUUUCCCUUCCUUUCCUCUUUCCUUUCAGAUCGGGAUCCUAGUUACACAAUCAUUCAGGGGAGAAACAAUGAAGAGGAAACAGGCCAAAGGGUGUGUCUUGAGUUGUGUUCCCUGAAAACAGUGCCCCUGAGACCUGGACUUGAGACUUCCUGAGAGGGUGAUCCCAGGGAUUAGAAGGGAGGAGCCAGAAAACGUGAGUCAGGGAAGAAGAAAAUGCCAACCCAAAGGUGCAUGUUGAGCUAGCUGUUGAGGUGGAGCUCAGAGCAGACCCUCUGAGGAAUACUGGAGAACACACCUCAGAAAGGACAGGAGGCUGGGCACUGACCUGUGCCCUCCAUUGCUUGAGGGUCUCGCUCAGAGCACUGAUGCUCCUGUCCUCUCCUGCACUUCUCUCAGCUGAGGGAGAAAGGCAGAGGCAAGGCCUCAUAGAUGGGAUGCUGGCACGGUUAAGGGUUAAGGUUAAGCUCACCACAGCUGCAGCUUAAAUCAGAGGAAGCCUGACAACACGCGGCCCAAUGCACCCCAAAUGGCUGCCUCAGGCCCAAAGCCCAUUAUUGGGUCAAUAACAUAACCCUGUUAGCCUUGUUGAGCACUUUCA